GUGGGGAAUCUUCCGCAAUGGACGAAAGUCUGACGGAGCAACGCCGCGUGAGUGAUGAAGGUUUUCGGACUGUAAAGCUCUGUUGUUUAGGACGAAAGUGCCUGUUGCGAACAGUUACAGGUAUUGACGGUACUAAACGAGGAAGCCACGGCUAACUACGUGCCAGCAGCCGCGGUAAUACGUAGGUGGCAAGCGGUGGCCGGAAUUAUUGGGCGUAAUGAGCAUGUAGGCGGAGAUUUAAGUCUGUUGUGAAAAUGCGGGGCUCAACGCAGUAAUGCGAUGGAAACUGAAGUGCUUGAGUGCAGGAGAGGGAAGGGGAAUUCCCAGUGUAGCGGUGAAAUGCGUAGAUAUUGGGAGGAACACCAGUGGCGAAGGCGCCUUUCUGGACUGUGUCUGACGCUGAGAUGCGAAAGCCAGGGUAGCGAACGGGAUUAGAAACCCGGGUAGUCC
rnacentral:rRNA from 1 species